GGGCCCGCACAAGCGGUGGAGUAUGUGGUUUAAUUCGAUGCAACGCGAAGAACCUUACCAGGGUUUGACAUCCUGCGAAUCUCUUGGAAACGAGAGAGUGCCUUCGGGAACGCAGUGACAGGUGGUGCAUGGCUGUCGUCAGCUCGUGUCGUGAGAUGUUGGGUUAAGUCCCGCAACGAGCGCAACCCACGUCUUUAGUUGCCAGCAUUUAGUUGGGCACUCUAGAGAGACUGCCGGUGAUAAACCGGAGGAAGGUGUGGAUGACGUCAAGUCAUCAUGCCCCUUACAUCCUGGGCUACACACGUACUACAAUGGUAGGUACAGAGGGAAGCCACCCCGCGAGGGGGAGCGGA
rnacentral:rRNA from 1 species